AUCCAGCCGACGAGUCCCAAAUAGGAUGAAACGCGUGUCCUGGAU
rfam:Schistosoma rodhaini strain Burundi genome assembly, scaffold: SROB_scaffold0005443